AUGCUAAAAAUUGUAAUGUCAGUGCUUGUAUACACCUCUGUAACAGUUCACUUGAAAAUAAUCAUAAACCCCUAACAAACAAAUCCUGCCCGCUUGAUACUUGUAAUGUGAAACUGGGGCUAUCUUUACUGGCUUGCUGGAAUGUGUAUAAUCCCUUCUGAUUGGUUGGGAGCCAAAUUUGAACGUGUAAACAUAGAUCCAUGCAGGACCUGAAAUGUAGUUUCAAAGCAAUGUUGGGAAUUUUAAAAGUUGAAGUUUUAACAAUAUCCUGAUAUACUUUAAUGGACAUUCUUAAACAAUUAAUUAGAAUGUGGAAAUCAACAUUUUGUGUGUCAACAAGUCUCUAAAAGAGGAAUUCAGUGAGUAAUGAAGCGGCCCUUUUGGAAAUGCUUUGAACUGUUAAACAGCGAUUUUCAAAAAAGAUUGUGUAGCAACUUACCCCUGACAACGACCUCAGAAGUGCAGUCACAGAGUAAUGGUGCUGUUAUCACUUAAAAGCAACCAUCAAAAAAGAUUGUGUAGCAACUUUCCCCUGACAACGACCCCUGGCUCAAUUAAGUGCAGUCACAGAGUGAUGGUACCUCACCAGGGUCUAGUUCAGGCAAUUAUGAAGAUCUCUAAAAGGGAUUUUCAUCUCAAUAUAAUAACUGUAAUUUCUUAAAACAUAAACUUACUUUAUUUACUGUGUUUUUAUGUCAUAUAACAGUGAUACAGUAAUGUGUGUUGUAUUUAGGGAUUUAUUUCUUAACGGGAUGUGUAAGAGUAAAUUAUUUUAUUUUAUUGACUGUCAGUA